GUGGGCGGCUGGAGAACUGAGGGGGGCUGCUCCUAGUACGAGAGGACCGGAGUGGACGCAUCACUGGUGUUCGGGUUGUCAUGCCAAUGGCACUGCCCGGUAGCUAAAUGCGGAAGAGAUAAGUGCUGAAAGCAUCUAAGCACGAAACUUGCCCCGAGAUGAGUUCUCCCUGAGACUUAGAGUCUCCUGAAGGAACGUUGAAGACGACGACGUUGAUAGGCCGGGUGUGUAAGCGCAGCGAUGCGUUGAGCUAACCGGUACUAAUGAACCGUGAGGCUUAACCUUACAACGCCGAAG
rnacentral:rRNA from 1 species